CAGCAGCCGCGGUAAUACGAAGGUCCCAAGCGUUGUUCGGAAUCACUGGGCGUAAAGAGUAUGUAGGCGGUAUGGAAAGUCAGAUGUGAAAUCUUGGGGCUCAACCCCGAAACUGCAUCCGAUACUCCCGUACUAGAGUAAUGGAGGGGUGACUGGAAUUCUCGGUGUAGCAGUGAAAUGCGUAGAUAUCGAGAGGAACACUCGUGGCGAAGGCGAGUCACUGGACAUUUACUGACGCUGAGAUACGAAGGCCAGGGUAGCGAAAGGGAUUAGAUACCCCUGUAGUCCUGGCAGUAAACGGUGCACGCUUGGUGUGGCGGGAUUCGACCCCUGCCGUGCCGGAGCUAACGCGUUAAGCGUGCCGCCUGGGGAGUACGGCCGCAAGGCUAAAACUCAAAGAAAUUGACGGGGACCCGCACAAGCGGUGGAGUAUGUGGCUUAAUUCGAUGCAACGCGAAGAACCUUACCUAGGCUUGACAUGCUCGUCAUACCUCCCAGAAACGGGAGGUCGGUUCGGCCGAACGAUGCACAGGUGCUGCAUGGCCGUCGUCAGCUCGUGUCGUGAGAUGUUUGGUUAAGUCCAGCAACGAGCGUAACCCCUGUGAAUAGUUGCCAGCGCGUAAUGGCGGGGACUCUAUUCAGACUGCCGGUAUCAAACCGGAGGAAGGUGGGGACGACGUCAGGUCAGUAUGGCCCUUACGCCUAGGGCUGCACACGUACUACAAUGCCCAGUAUAAUGAGAACCGAGACCGCGAGGUGGAGGAAAUCUGCAAAAACUGGGCCCAGUUCGGAUUGGAGGCUGCAACUCGCCUCCAUGAAGUCGGAAUCGCUAGUAAUGGCUCAUCAGCAACGGAGUCGUGAAUACGUUCCCGGGUCUUGUACACACCGCCCGUCACAUCAUGGAAGCCGGUCGCACCCGAAGUAUCUGCGCUAACUUUCGAGAAGCAGGAUCCUAAGGUGUAGCUGGUAACUGGGAUGAAGUCGUAACAAGGUAGCCGUA
rnacentral:rRNA from 1 species